UUUGGAUGUAAUGAUGUAACUUAGUUGUAUUCCAACUAAGUUUGUUAGUGGUAGUAGGUGGUGAUUUAUUUUAAGUGGAUGUAAUGAUGAAACUUAGUUGUAUUCCAACUAAGUUUGUUAGUGGUAGUAGGAGGUGAUUUAUUUUAAGUGGAUGUAAUGAUGAAACUUAGUUGUAUUCCAACUAAGUUGUCAAGUUGUAAGCUUGUAUAAAUAGGCUUUAUGCCAUUUUAAAAAAAAUGAAUGAAUUCAAUCAAGAUUUCAUCCAUAUACUCUCUAUUUUAGCUUUGCUUAAAAUUUAUUUCAUUUUUCUUCUUUGUUUCUGCCGCAAGUCUCGAUUCUUGCUCGGCAAGCUUUUUGUUGAACCUUGCUAUUUGUUGCACUUGGCUCCAACAAUUGGUAUCAAGAGCCUAUUUCUUAAGGGAUCUGUUAUACAAAUUCAUGGCUUCAUCAAGCUUUUCACCAGCUGCACCUCAAGUCUUCAAUGGAGAAGGCUACCACAUAUGGGUGGUUAAAAUGAAGACCUACCUACAAGCUUUCGAUCUGUGGGAGGUAGUCAACUCAGAUGUUGAACCAGAGCCACUCAGAGGCAAUCCAACAGUGGCUCAAAUCAGGCAGCAUGCUGAUGAGAGGACCAAGAGGCACAAAGCCAUGUCUUGCAUCCAGAACUCAGUGUCAGAUGUGAUUUUCACAAGGAUUAUGGCCUGUGAAUCACCAAAACAAGCCUGGGACAAGUUGCAAGAGGAGUUUCAAGGGACAGAGAGGACAAGGUAGCAACAGUUACUGAACUUAAGGAGAGAUUUCAAGAAUUUGAAGAUGAAGGAAGAAGAAACUAUCAAGCAGUACUCUGACAGGAUUAUGGCUGUGGUUAACAGCAUUAGGCUCCUUGGAGAGCAGCUAAAGGAAGCUAGGAUAGUGGAGAAGGUUAUUGCAAAUCUGCCCGAGAUGUAUGAGGCAAAAAUCUCAUCUCUCGAGGACUCAAGAGACCUGUACACCAUCUCCCUGACAGAGUUGAUCAAUGCUUUAUAUGCUCAAGAGCAAAGAAGAGCAAGCAGACUGGAGGAGCAUCAAGAAGGUGCCUUUCAGGCAAGAACAAACACUGCCUACAAAGGCAAGAAGGCCUGGAGAGACAAGCCAAGGACUGAUGUUGCAAGAAAAGAGGGUCAGACUUGCAAGCACUGCAGAAGGGCUGGUCAUCCAAAAGAAAAAUGCUGGUUCAAUCCAGAUGCUGUAUGUCAGUAUUGUAAAAAGAAGGGUCAUGUUGAGAGAGUCUGCAAGAGCAAUGCCAAAUCAAGGCAGAGUCAGUUUCAACAGAUGAAAGCUGAGGCUCGAGUAGCUAAGGAGGACAGUGACCAAGAGGAGCAAGUCUUUGCUGUGUUAUGCUCAGCUGCUCAAGAAAGGUUCUCAUCUGGUUGGCUUCUAGACAGUGGAUGCACCAACCACAUGACACCUGAUGCUGCAAUCUUCAAGUCUUUAGACAGAAGCUGCAGAACUAAAGUCAAGAUAGGAAAUGGACAUUUUAUUCAAGCUGAAGGCAAGGGUGAUGUGCUGAUAUGCACCCCCACAGGUGCCAAAGUGAUUUCAAAUGUGCUUUUGGUGCCUGAAAUUGACAGAAACCUGCUCAGCAUAGCUCAGUUGUUGGAGAAAGGUUAUUCUGUUGUGUUCAAAGACAACCAAUGCCAAAUCAAUGAUCCAAGUGGAUCCAAGCUGAUGGCAGUUCCUAUGGCUAAUAAGAGCUUUGUAGUUGACUGGACCAGGGAGUCAAACAUUGCCUACACAGUCACAUCAGAUGAAUCUAAGCUUUGGCAUCAAAGACUGGGACAUGCCAACUUCAGAUCGAUGGCUCGAAUGGUCAGAGAGGACUUGGCUGAAAACUUCAUCAACUCAAUGGAUCAUGAUGAUGUGUGUGAAGUGUGUCAGCUAGGAAAGCAGGCCAGACUCCCAUUUCCCUCGAAUCAAGCCUAGAGAGCCUCUGAAAAACUCCAACUGGUGCACACUGAUGUGUGUGGCCCUAUGAGGACUGAGUCAUUAAGUGGAAACAGGUACUUCAUACUGUUCAUUGAUGAUUUUUCAAGAUAUUGCUGGCUUUACUUCCUAAAACAGAAAUCAGAGGCGGCCUCAGUGUUUUGGAAGUUCAAGACUGCUACUGAGACUGAAACAGGUUGCAAGCUGAAGUCCAUAAGGUCUGAUAAUGGGACUGAGUACACCUCAGCUCAGUUCCAAGCCUUCUGUGAUAAGGCAGGCAUCAAACAUCAACUUACCAACACAUAUACACCUCAGCAAAAUGGUGUAAGUGAAAGGAAGAAUAGGAGUUUGAUGGAUAUGGUUAGGUGCUUGAUGAUUCAGAAGAAUCUGCCUAAAGCACUAUGGGCAGAGGCAGUUAACACUGCAAACUACAUUCAAAAUAGGCUUCCAACCAAGGCAUUGGAUCAGAAGACUCCAUUCGAAGCCUGGUUUGGAUUCAAGCCAUCACUGGCUCAUCUGAAGGUCUUUGGAUGCAUCUGUUAUGCUCAUGUACCUGCUGUCAAAAGGGACAAAUUGUCUGAAAGGGCUCGACCUGGUAUUUUGGUGGGCUACAGCACUGUUAAGAAGGGCUAUAGGAUCUUGGAUCCUUUAACAAAGAAAGUGUCAGUCAGUAGGGAUGUGGUAUUUGAUGAAAAGUCAUGUUGGAACUGGGAAAAACAUGAACCUGAGGAAGUUUCAGAAGGACUUGCAGCAGAUCAAGCUGAGCCAGAUCAAAAUGUUCCUGAAAUGGACAUUGAUGAUGAACCAGUUAGAGGAACAAGACCAUUGACUGAGAUUUAUGAAAGAGCUCAUGUAGCCAUAGCUGAACCAAGCAAUUUUGAAGAGGCUGAAGCUCAGCAAGAGUGGAAGCAGGCAAUGGCUGAGGAGAUUAGCAUGAUUGAGAAGAACCAGACCUGGGAAUUAGUUGAAAGGCCAGUCAAAAGGAAGAUAAUUGGGGUGAAAUGGGUGUACAAAGCCAAGCAAAAUGCUGAUGGUACCUUGAACAAACUGAAAGCAAGGCUAGUUGUCAAGGGGUUCAGUCAGAGGUAUGGCCUGGACUACCUGGAGACCUUUGCACCAGUGGCCAGGCUAGACACCAUCAGAUUACUGAUUGCCUUAGCAGCACAGCUCGAGUGGAAGAUCCAUCAACUCGAUGUGAAAUCAGCCUUUCUGAAUGGUUUCUUAGAUGAAGAGAUCUAUGUUGAACAACCACAAGGGUUUGAGAUAGUUGGCAGAGAGCAUAUGGUCUACAAACUGAAGAAGGCCCUAUAUGGCUUAAAACAGGCUCCAAGGGCCUGGUACAGCAGAAUCGAUGGCUACUUGACUAAUUUGGGAUUUGAUCGAAGCAAGAGUGAGCCAACACUGUAUGUCAAGAAGCAAGGGACACAAACACAGCUCAUUGUAUCCCUAUAUGUUGAUGACCUGCUGGUGACAGGAGGAGAUCGAGCAGUGCUGGUCGAUUUCAAGACUAAGAUGCAAGAAGUAUUUGAAAUGUCUGAUAUAGGGGAAAUGUCUUAUUUCCUUGGAAUGGAGGUGACUCAAGCACAAAAUGGGAUAUUUCUAAGUCAAAGAAACUUUGCCACAAAGAUUCUGACCAAGUUCUCCAUGCAAAACAGUAAAGCAACUAAAACACCUGUUGCUGUUGGAGAAAAACUAUCGAGCCAAGGUGAUUUUGAGAAGGUUUGUGAAACAACCUACAGAAGUCUAGUUGGUUGUCUGUUAUAUUUAACUGCCACUAGACCAGACAUAAUGUAUGCUGUAGGAUUGCUCUCAAGGUUCUUGCAUUGUUGCAAUAAAAAGCAUUUACAAGCUGCUAAGAGAGUGCUUAGAUAUGUCAAAGGCACUUUGAGCUAUGGUUUAAGGUACAGCAAGGAAGGAAAUCUGAAGCUGGUUGGCUACACUGAUAGUGACUGGGCUGGCUCGAUAGAUGACAUGAAAAGCACCUCAGGGUAUGCUUUCAACCUUGGUUCAGCCAUGUUUUGCUGGAGCUCGAAGAAGCAAAGUCUGGUGGCUCAAUCUACUGCUGAAGCAGAAUAUGUGGCAGCUGCAAGUGCUGUCAACCAAGCCAUUUGGCUAAGGAAAAUCUUAGCUGAUUUGAAAGUGCAUCAAAAGGAAGCUACUGAGAUCUUCUGUGACAACCAAUCUUCAGUUGCAAUUGCUAAAAAUCCAGUGUUCCAUGGAAGAACAAAGCAUUUCAGCAUCAAGUUGCAUGUUGUUCGAGAAAUGGAGCAAGCUCAGGAAGUGAAGCUGAUCCAUUGUAAUUCUGAGGAUCAACUUGCAGACAUUUUGACUAAAGCCCUUAAUGUCACAAGGUUCGAAUGUCUAAGAAGGAAGCUAGGUGUUUGCUCCAUGCAAACCAAGGAGGAGUAUUGAAGCAAUGGUUAGCAUGUAGCAAUCACAUGUUUUAUUAUUAUUAUUAUUAUUAUUAUUAUUAUUAUUAUUAUUUGGAUGUAAUGAUGUAACUUAGUUGUAUUCCAACUAAGUUUGUUAGUGGUAGUAGGUGGUGAUUUAUUUUAAGUGGAUGUAAUGAUGAAACUUAGUUGUAUUCCAACUAAGUUUGUUAGUGGUAGUAGGAGGUGAUUUAUUUUAAGUGGAUGUAAUGAUGAAACUUAGUUGUAUUCCAACUAAGUUGUCAAGUUGUAAGCUUGUAUAAAUAGGCUUUAUGCCAUUUUAAAAAAAAAUGAAUGAAUUCAAUCAAGAUUUCAUCCAUAUACUCUCUAUUUUAGCUUUGCUUAAAAUUUAUUUCAUUUUUCUUCUUUGUUUCUGCCGCAAGUCUCGAUUCUUGCUCGGCAAGCUUUUUGUUGAACCUUGCUAUUUGUUGCACUUAGCUCCAACAAUU
rnacentral:lncRNA from 1 species